AUUGAACGCUGGCGGCAGGCCUAACACAUGCAAGUCGAGCGAGCGGCGGACGGGUGAGUAAUGUAUGGGGACUGCCCGAUAGAGGGGGAUAACUACUGGAAACGGUAGCUAAUACCGCAUACUAUCGGAUAACCCAGAUGGGAUUAGCUAGUAGGUGAGGUAAAGGCUCACCUAGGCGACGAUCCCUAGCUGGUCUGAGAGGAUGAUCAGCCACACGUGGACAGAGACACGGUCCAGACUCCUACGGAGGCAGCAGUGGGGAAUAUUGCACAAUGGGCGCAAGCCUGAUGCAGCCAUGCCGCGUGUAUGAAGAAGGCCCUAGGGGUGUAAAGUACUUUCAGUCGGGAGGCGUUACUGACAGAAGAAGCACCGGCUAACUCCGUGCCAGCAGCCGCGGUAAUAC
rnacentral:rRNA from 1 species